CGGACAAGAACCGAGAGAAGUCCAGGGC
rnacentral:piRNA from 1 species